ACAUUUUCGUAGGACAAAGCGCGAAAUUAUUUCACCCUGGGUAAACGUGCCCCGUUGAGCAUGGUGGUUUAGUCGGUUUAGUGGUGGUGGCAGCGAAAGUGAACGACAGCUGCUCGCUGCAUACGAUGUGCAUGAGCUGCGUUAUGUGAUCUGCGGACGGCGCCAGCAGAGGCCGGUAGCGGCAUUCAUCACACCGUGAGUCCGUGACGCAAGCGAGCCCGUGUGUGACAAGCGUGCACGCGCUGCACACAGGUGCUGUGGCCUUGUGUAUGUUUUAAUAGUCGCGUAGUUUCAGCGUACCGCCUGUGUUACGCCGCCGUUUGUCACCUAUGCGCAUACAUUGGCUCGACGCGGCGCUAGCCAGAGCGCCACGAAUACCGCCCGCAUCUCUUGUGAAAGCCAUGGAUGCAGUGCUUCCUCGGUGGUGACACCAGUUCGGAACCAUGGACGAUCCGCUUGUAACCCGCAUCAGCCCUCGGGCCAAGGUGCUUUCUGCUCUCUUCUACGGCAUCGUCUCGUUUCUCAUCAUUAUUAUCAACAAAAUCGUGCUCACUACCUACGGGUUUCCUUCGCCGCAUUUCUUGGGGGUCGGACAGAUGCUUAUCACCAUUACCCUGAUAUGGGCAUUAAGGCAAGCAGGGUUUAUAGAUUUCCCAAAAAUAUCACUGGCCACGUGUGCCAAGAUACUGCCGCUUCCCUUAUUCUUUGGAGCCAAUCUAGUGUGCGGCUUAGGAGGCACACAAAAAAUUAGCUUGCCAAUGUUCACGGCAUUACGUAGAUUCUCCAUUCUCAUGACUAUGAUCGGGGAAUACUUAGUGCUGAGGAAAAGGCCUCAGACAGGCGUCGUGAUCUCUGUGUUUGCCAUGGUGGGAGGUGCAAUGAUUGCUGCAUGCAAAGACCUCUCCUUCGAUGUUGGCGGCUACACACUAGUCCUGCUCAAUGAUUUCUUCACUGCGGCCAACAUCAUAUGCGUUCGCAAGGUUGUCGACGCCAAGGACCUGACCAAUUACGAGCUGCUCUUCUACAAUGCCUUGCUCAUGGUGGCGCCCCUGGCUUUUCUGUCCUGGGCCGUUGGUGACUUGACAAUGGCGUUGGAGUUCCCACGAUGGCUGGAGCCUGGCUUUCUCGGUGCCUUUCUCUGCUCCUGUCUCAUGGGCUUCAUGAUCAUGUACGCCACGGUGUUAUGUACGGCGUACAACUCUGCCCUCACCACCACCAUCAUCGGCUGCCUAAAGAACAUAAUGACCACAUAUGUUGGAAUGUACGUUGGUGGUGACUACAUCUUCAACCUUUCCAACUUUGUGGGCCUCAACAUUAGCGUUGCGGGAAGCCUGCUGUAUUCCUAUCUCACCUUCAUUCAGAAGCAGGGCAACCAGCAGAUGCCAACGACACAGUCAAAGAAAAGAAGUCUCACUAGAAGCUGAGCGCUCUCCGCUUUCUAGUACUGUUGUCAGUGAUAUCAAAGAUUUAAAGGACACGCAACACUCCGUUCUUGAAUCUAGCGUUGCUCACAAGAUGAUGCCCUUGGUAUCAAGUUGAAGAACAAGAGAAGAAGUUCUGAUGCACAUGCUGCAGUGUCUGGAACCAGUUAUUAUUUUUCUAGAUCAAACGGCCUCUUUUUUAGUCUGUGAUGUCGUGCUGAGGGCUGUUGCAGGCUUGCAUUUUUUUUAAUGUGUUAGUUUAGAUUUGUGCUCACACUUGCUAUGUUUGGGUGCCUGGAGACACCCAUGUAUUUUUUGCAUUUUAUGUACAUUCUUUACAUAUAACCGAUGGCUGAAGAACCUUGUUUCGCAGUCUGCCCUUUUGCAUGUCUGCGUUGUUAUUGACAAAAGUAAAAAAUGUUGAAAUGAA
rnacentral:misc_RNA from 1 species